CAGCACCUCAAGUGGUCAGGAUGAUUAUUGGGCCUAAAGCAUCCGUAGCCGGCGCUGUAAGUUUUCGGUUAAAUCUGUACGCUCAACGUACAGGCUGCCGGGAAUACUGCAGCGCUAGGGAGUGGGAGAGGUAGACGGUACUCGGUAGGAAGGGGUAAAAUCCUUUGAUCUAUUGAUGACCACCUGUGGCGAAGGCGGUCUACCAGGACACGUCCGACGGUGAGGGAUGAAAGCUGGGGGAGCAAACCGGAUUAGAUACCCGAGUAGUC
rnacentral:rRNA from 1 species